UGAACGCUAGCGGCAGGCUUAACACAUGCAAGUCGAGGGGCAACGCGAGUAGCAAUACUUGGCGGCGACCGGCGCAAGGGUGCGUAACGCGUGAGCAACAUGCCCGUAUCAGGGGGAUAAUCCAGGGAAACUUGGUCUAAUACCCCAUAGUAAUUUUGUAAGGCAUCUUAUAAGAUUUAAAGCUUUGGUGGAUACGGAUUGGCUCGCGUGACAUUAGCUGGAUGGUAAGGUAACGGCUUACCAUGGCUAUGAUGUCUAGGGGUUCUGAGAGGAAGGUCCCCCACACUGGAACUGAGACACGGUCCAGACUCCUACGGGAGGCAGCAGUGAGGAAUAUUGGACAAUGGAUGGAAAUCUGAUCCAGCCAUGCCGCGUGAAAAGGAAGAAGGUCCUAUGGAUUGUAAACUUCUUUUGUAUGGGAGCAAUAAGGCCUACGAGUAGGUUGAUGAGAGUACCAUACGAAUAAGCACCGGCUAACUCCGUGCCAGCAGCUGC
rnacentral:rRNA from 1 species